UUAGGAUGAGCUGGCCAGCA
rnacentral:misc_RNA from 1 species